CGGAGCUGGAGGUGGGAGGAGAACAGGAUUUGGAAAACGGUUGCUGGACGGAAACCACGAAACAGACAGAAAGCACCCUUCUCUUUGACCCUAAUGUACCCAUCUAAGAAGACUUUUAAGGAGAAGCAAGGACUGAGACCUGAGUUACAGCAGUUAUGUUGAGUGACCUACAACGUGACAUCAUCCCAGCUCUUCCUCACCAAGGUACAGGUGAUCACAAUUAAGCCGUCUGGAUAAGGGAACUGACUCUGAGUUUCAAAACUUUAGGUUCAGUGUUGAAUACGAAGACGUUUUUAAAAAUCUCAAGAGGAGCUUCAAGUCCAUCUAUGAUUUUGUCUGGUCAGCAUCCCUUCCUCUGCGGGAAUUCCUCAUCCGACAAUCUCUGGUCCUGAUGGGCUGUCAGUCAUGAUGCUACCCUCCCCCAGGCAUGAGCAGUGAUCCAGGCUGGGCAAUAAGAGCACGCCAUCACCUUGGCUCAGUAAUUGGGCUAGAGCUGAGUUUAUGACCUAAAUAGGACUAACCGGAUUCUUCCCUGGGAUUUAUACAAGCAUGCUGGAGGAGGUGAAGGGUAUAGCCUUGGAGCUUCCUGUAUCCACGUUUCCCUCUGUGUGCCAAGAUCUUGUCAACAGAAUGAAGCCAAAACUCAGAGAGAAGCAAAACCAAAAGAAUAUAUGUUUCAAGUCCCUGGCUACAGUCACGGGGUCCAGCCCGCCUUUUGGACUUCCUAGUUAUAUAAGCCAAUAAAUUCUAUUUUACUUGACUAGUGUGAGUUGGGUUUUUGUCACUUAAAAAGACACCCAACACAAAGUUGUGCAUCACCACCUUUACAACUCUCCAUUAUCCCUCUGAGGACGAAUUUCCAGCAUCUUUUUUCUAAGCACAAAGCUGUUUUUCCGGAAUCAGGACUCCCGUGUCCAGUUCAGGCCAGUUGAGAUCACCUACCCAUGAACAGGGCCUGCACAGGUGCCCG
rnacentral:lncRNA from 1 species